rnacentral:rRNA from 1 species
UCUGCUGUGAAAUCUGGGGGCUCAACCCCCCAGCCUGCAGUGGGUACGGGCAGACUAGAGUGCGGUAGGGGAGAUUGGAAUUCCUGGUGUAGCGGUGGAAUGCGCAGAUAUCAGGAGGAACACCGAUGGCGAAGGCAGAUCUCUGGGCCGUAACUGACGCUGAGGAGCGAAAGGGUGGGGAGCAAACAGGCUUAGAUACCCUGGUAGUCCACCCCGUAAACGUUGGGAACUAGUUGUGGGGUCCAUUCCACGGAUUCCGUGACGCAGCUAACGCAUUAAGUUCCCCGCCUGGGGAGUACGGCCGCAAGGCUAAAACUCAAAGGAAUUGACGGGGACCCGCACAAGCGGCGGAGCAUGCGGAUUAAUUCGAUGCAACGCGAAGAACCUUACCAAGGCUUGACAUAUACGAGAACGGGCCAGAAAUGGUCAACUCUUUGGACACUCGUAAACAGGUGGUGCAUGGUUGUCGUCAGCUCGUGUCGUGAGAUGUUGGGUUAAGUCCCGCAACGAGCGCAACCCUCGUUCUAUGUUGCCAGCACGUAAUGGUGGGAACUCAUGGGAUACUGCCGGGGUCAACUCGGAGGAAGGUGGGGAUGACGUCAAAUCAUCAUGCCCCUUAUGUCUUGGGCUUCACGCAUGCUACAAUGGCCGGUACAAUGGGCUGCAAUACCGUGAGGUGGAGCGAAUCCCAAAAAGCCGGUCCCAGUUCGGAUUGAGGUCUGCAACUCGACCUCAUGAA